GAUGAACGCUAGCGGGAGGCUUAACACAUGCAAGCCGAGGGGUAUAGUUAGCUUGCUAACUAGAGACCGGCGCACGGGUGCGUAACGCGUAUGCAACUUGCCCUACUGAAAAGGAUAGCCCUUCGAAAGGAGGAUUAAUACUUUAUAACAGAUUUAAUGGCAUCAUUAGAUUUUGAAAGAUUUAUCGCAGUAGGAUAGGCAUGCGUAAGAUUAGUUAGUUGGUGAGGUAACGGCUCACCAAGACGAUGAUCUUUAGGGGGCCUGAGAGGGUGAACCCCCACACUGUUACUGAGACACGGACCAGACUCCUACGUGAGGCAGCAGUGAGGAAUAUUGGACAAUGGGUGGAAGCCUGAUCCAGCCAUCCCGUGUGUAGGAUGACGGCCUUAUGGGUUGUAAACUACUUUUAUCUGGGGAUAAACCUACUUACGUGUAAGUAGCUGAAGGUACCAGAAGAAUAAGCACCGGCUAACUCCGUGCCAGCCGCCGCCGUAAAAC
rnacentral:rRNA from 1 species